UAUUUUUAAAUAUAUAUUAUUAUAACAUUUCUAAACCAAGCUAGUUGUGUCUGCUUGGUUUUCAGUUUUUAAGCCAAGUUAGCUUGAAUCAUUUGGCUGUACCUGAGCCAUGCACUGCUAUAUUACGUCAUAAUUCAUUGCGAGCCAUGAGAGACAAAUCUGAUACAACUCUUUUAAAAAGAGCCAAUAAGUGUAUUUCCCAAAAAUGUUAAACUGUCCUUUUAACAACAACAACAACAAAUUUAAAGGGGAAGCUGUUAGGAAAGUUAACUAUUUGACCACUCAGGGUCAAACUACUACGCUAACGGUCGAUUAGCUUAGCAUAAAGACAGCUAGACGUUAUAAUGGGUCUGUCUAUUUCUUGGAUAAGCUAACGUUCGUCCCCUGGCCGGAGUCUUGUUGGUUACCUAGCAACAGCUCGAAGUCCUGAAAGGUCACCAAAUAAGAAAAGAAAAAAUCCUGAAAUGUUGUUGCUAGCUACACUUUGUUUUAUAACGUGAAAUUUGAGGUGUAAUUGGUUAUUUAGUGAGUUUUAGGGGUGCUGAUACAUGUGGACUGAGUUUCAAUCGGGCAGAGCCAAACUAGCUGUUUUGGUUUCGAGUUUUUAUGCUAAGCUAGCUUAAUCUCUUGGCUGUCUGUUAGCCUUCUCGUGCCCAUCCAUGGACACCCGUGAGAGUCAUAUAUUAUUAUCUGAUGCAACUUUCUGCAAGAAAAGCAAUAACCGGAGGUGUGUGUGGUGGUUGAGUCGUUCGGUAAGGAGCCUCGGCGCGGCGUGUGUGCGCGACAGAGCAGCAGCAGCCGGAGCUCCGGGGAGACGCUGCUGGAGAAGGCGGAGUAGAUCCAGGGGUUGGUGCAGGAGUUCAGACUGGCCAGCAGCAUCAGCAAGGAGAUAUGCUGCCUUGCUUUGAGGCUCCAGAAACUUCAGCCGACUUUCCAUCGUCUUCAGGUGAGAAUAGGACGUACCCGAGUCUCGGUGAUCGUGGAGAGGAUGGCUCUGCGGAUCAUGCUGGCGUAGGCGUGGAGUUUUAGGUGAUCCAGCAGCAAGCAGGAUGCCAGCAGCAUGGCCGUGGGGUUUGCUGUGUUACGGUUAGCGAUGCUCUUACCGGUGUUCCUGGUGCCCUGCGCAUAGAGGAACAUGUUGACUUUAUAAACAGAGGUACAUGUCACAGCAUUUAUAUCUGGUUAUUCAAAAAAUGACUGCAGCACUGAUGUGCUACUGCUAAACUCUGAGGAAGGAAAUACUUUUUCUACUCAUUCAAGUUUGCAUAUUUAUACCGAAGGAGUGAAGGGAAAAAUA